AGGAAAUUUGUGCUUCCCCACCAAGAUGCAGAGGUCGUCCUGUAGAAAUGGAAGUUGUUGUGGAGCGGAGCCUCCCGGACGCCCUUUAGCAAAUAGUUGUCCACAACCCUUAGGGGACAGAGAACCCAGCCGGACGAUUUGAGGCACGCGGCGACACCCCGUUGCCCAAUACCGAGCGAGGCUUGAGUGGAGAAAGUGACGUCUCGAAGGCGCGUG
rnacentral:misc_RNA from 1 species